UAAUACGGAGGAUCCGAGCGUUAUCCGGAUUUAUUGGGUUUAAAGGGUGCGUAGGCGGCCUAUUAAGUCAGGGGUGAAAUACGGUGGCUCAACCAUCGCAGUGCCUUUGAUACUGAUGGGCUUGAAUCCAUUUGAAGUGGGCGGAAUAAGACAAGUAGCGGUGAAAUGCAUAGAUAUGUCUUAGAACUCCGAUUGCGAAGGCAGCUCACUAAGCUGGUAUUGACGCUGAUGCACGAAAGCGUGGGGAUCGAACAGGAUUAGAUACCCUGGUAGUCCACGCCCUAAACGAUGAUAACUCGAUGUUGGCGAUAGACAGCCAGCGUCCCAGCGAAAGCGUUAAGUUAUCCACCUGGGGAGUACGCCCGCAAGGGUGAAACUUAAAUGAAUUGACGG
rnacentral:rRNA from 1 species